rnacentral:rRNA from 1 species
GUUCCUACGGGAGGCAGCAGUGGGGAAUAUUGCACAAUGGGGGAAACCCUGAUGCAGCGACGCCGCGUGAAGGAAGAAGUAUUUCGGUAUGUAAACUUCUAUCAGCAGGGAAGAAAAUGACGGUACCUGACUAAGAAGCCCCGGCUAACUACGUGCCAGCAGCCGCGGUAAUACGUAGGGGGCAAGCGUUAUCCGGAUUUACUGGGUGUAAAGGGAGCGUAGACGGCAGCGCAAGUCUGGAGUGAAAUGCCGGGGCCCAACCCCGGAACUGCUUUGGAAACUGUGCGGCUCGAGUGCGGGAGAGG